rnacentral:rRNA from 1 species
AGGGGGAUAACUACUGGAAACGGUAGCUAAUACCGCAUGACCUCGUAAGAGCAAAGUGGGGGACCUUCGGGCCUCACGCCNUCGGAUGUGCCCAGAUGGGAUUAGCUAGUAGGUGAGGUAAUGGCUCACCUAGGCGACGAUCCCUAGCUGGUCUGAGAGGAUGACCAGCCACACUGGAACUGAGACACGGUCCAGACUCCUACGGGAGGCAGCAGUGGGGAAUAUUGCACAAUGGGCGCAAGCCUGAUGCANCCAUGCCGCGUGUGUGAAGAAGGCCUUAGGGUUGUAAAGCACUUUCAGCGAGGAGGAAGGGUUCAGUGUUAAUAGCACUGUUCAUUGACGUUACUCGCAGAAGAAGCACCGGCUAACUCCGUGCCAGCAGCCGCGGUAAUACGGAGGGUGCAAGCGUUAAUCGGAAUUACUGGGCGUAAAGCGCACGCAGGCGGUUUGUUAAGUCAGAUGUGAAAUCCCCGAGCUUAACUUGGGAACUGCAUUUGAAACUGGCAAGCUAGAGUCUUGUAGAGGGGGGUAGAAUUCCAGGUGUAGCGGUGAAAUGCGUA